rnacentral:rRNA from 1 species
UACGAACUGUGCGAACGUUAUUCGGAAUCACUGGGCUUAAAGGGUGCGUAGGCGGCGAAUCAAGUCUGUUGUGAAAUCUCCCAGCUCAACUGGGAAAGUGCAGUGGAAACUGAUUUGCUAGAGUGAGGCAGGGGUGUAGGGAACUUCCAGUGGAGCGGUGAAAUGUGUUGAUAUUGGAAGGAACACCGGUGGCGAAAGCGUUACACUGGGCCUUUUCUGACGCUGAGGCACGAAAGCCAGGGGAGCGAACGGG